UAUCUCUGUAGAGUCUGCAUAUCAAUAAGCGGAGGAAAAGAAACUAACAAGGAUUCCCUUAGUAACGGCGAGUGAAGCGGGAAGAGCUCAAAUUUGAGAUCUUCAAGGUUCUACCUUGACGAAUUGUAGUUUAAAGAAGUGUUUUCUGUUAGAUGAGUAGCAAAAGUUCCUUGGAAUGGGACAUCAUAGAGGGUGAGAAUCCCGUAUUUGGUUAUUCAUUCUAGCUUUGUGAUACACUUUCAAAGAGUCGGAUUGUUUGGGAAUGCAGUCCAAAAUGGGUGGUAAAUUUCAUCUAAAGCUAAAUAUUGGCGAGAGACCGAUAGCGAACAAGUACCGUGAGGGAAAGAUGAAAAGAACUUUGAAAAGAGAGUUAAACAGUACGUGAAAUUGUCAAAAGGGAAGCGUUUGACACCAGUGUUGUUUUUCCGAAAAUCAAUUACGAAUGGCUUGAUUUUGUGUUGUAUUGACCUUAUCAGCUUUCUUCACUUUUUUCGAGUCUUUCUUAAUGCACUUUUCGGUUAACAAGUCAACAUCAAUUUCUUUUGUUGUAAAAGAGUAUUCGGAAGGUGGCUUUCUUUUCGGAGAAAGUGUUUAUAGCCCUAUACUUCUACAAUCGGAGAGAUUGAGGUCUGCAGCGUAGAUCCUUCGGGGUUAGAUACAUUUGUGCUAAGUUGUAGCUUUUCAUAGACAACUUGUUGACUAUGUUUAGUCAUGCGGCUUACUCGCUUAUGCUAUUUUACCUACGCUUAGGAUGUUGACUGAUAUGUAGUCGUA
rnacentral:rRNA from 1 species